rnacentral:rRNA from 1 species
UGCAAGUCGAGCGGACCGACGGGAGCUUGCUCCCUUAGGUCAGCGGCGGACGGGUGAGUAACACGUGGGUAACCUGCCUGUAAGACUGGGAUAACUCCGGGAAACCGGGGCUAAUACCGGAUGCUUGAUUGAACCGCAUGGUUCAAUCAUAAAAGGUGGCUUUUAGCUACCACUUGCAGAUGGACCCGCGGCGCAUUAGCUAGUUGGUGAGGUAACGGCUCACCAAGGCGACGACGCGUAGCCGACCUGAGAGGGUGAUCGGCCACACUGGGACUGAGACACGGCCCAGACUCCUACGGGAGGCAGCAGUAGGGAAUCUUCCGCAAUGGACGAAAGUCUGACGGAGCAACGCCGCGUGAGUGAUGAAGGUUUUCGGAUCGUAAAACUCUGUUGUUAGGGAAGAACAAGUACCGUUCGAAUAGGGCGGUACCUUGACGGUACCUAACCAGAAAGCCACGGCUAACUACGUGCCAGCAGCCGCGGUAAUACGUAGGUGGCAAGCGUUGUCCGGAAUUAUUGGGCGUAAAGCGCGCGCAGGCGGUUUCUUAAGU